rnacentral:lncRNA from 11 species
CCGGCAGAACGUUGGAUAAGCAAAUAUGUUGGAUAGUAGUUCAAUACAAAAUAAUGCUAUGUAGUAAUUACUGCAUUUACGAAUUUAGCACCAAAAUAUUACGAUUUAUUGAAAACAUCCACUACAAAAAUGCAUUGAAUAAUCCAGAACGUUGGAUAAGCGAGUGUUGGAUAAGUGACACUUUACUGUAUUAUUAUAUUGUUAUAUUGACACAAGAGACAUGGUGGAAUGAUGUCUUUCUGGCCCCCUUCUUCACUCUGGCAGAGUGGCAAGAAAGUGGCUCCCUUGUUAGCAGAUCUUUCUGGAUAUCUGUCUGGAAGGAUUUGAUAGUGUCUGGCAAAAUGGGGUUUGAACUCUGGGCCGUUUUGGACGCUCUUUCAUCCCUCCACUCCUUCCACGACUAACAGAUGGGCUCCUAAGGCUUGCAAAAACCAGGAAUUCCAAAAGGCAAAGGGGUUUCCAUCCUUAAGGAUUCUUGUUCCCAUAGAGCCUCCCUCCCUCCCUCCUUGGCCUCCCUUUUGAGCUCACAGGCAUCAACCCUAAUUAGAUUCCACUGCCAUCUGUACAUCCAAUGUAAAUCAGAACAAGAAAGAGCAGACAGAAAGAAUGACCAGAGAGGGGGGGGGGGGGGGAGGAAAAGAGGGAGGGGAAUAAGUUUUGCAUUCUGGAAACCCUCCCUGAUUAGUCACAUAGCAUUAAUCUGCCUUCCCCGACAAUAGGGGCCGAAUUUUCGACCGAAUCCCAGCUGUCAUCCCUUGAAUGAAAGAAAACAAGAUUUAGAGCGUCAAGCGUCGGUAGCGGUAGCAGGGGUUUCGGCAAAAGUGAGGAGCAGUGGGGAGGGGGCCAAAGAAAUCGAGGCGUGCAUUCAUUAGCGCCGCACAAAAGGAGCCCCGGCUUUGUCCAUUAAAUUGCUCAUGUGCCCGAUUAAUUUGUUGAAGGUUUCUCUCCCCCCACCCCAGAAAGAAAGAAAGAAGAGAAGGGGGGACGACACAACCAAAUGGGGCCAAAAUGAAAAGAGGAGAAACAGCAGACGCAAAAGCAUUUUCUAAUCCCAACUGUUGCAUCGCAGUGGCCGUUUCGCUGCGGCUUCAAACAGGUGGGAAACCCUAAUUCGAACUCAGACCCAAGCGACUCACUCGCUUCCAUGCGACGAAAUCACGUUUCGAAAGUUAAGAAAGAAAAGAUGACCCAGAUUGUCACUUGAGUCCACUGCUUUGCUUUGGCAAAACAACUGCAAGUACAGUAGAGUCUCACUUAUCCAACGUUCUGGAUUAUCCAACGCAUUUUUGUAGUCAAUGUUUUCAAUAUAUCAUGAUAUUUUGGUGCUAAAUUCGUAAAUACAGUAAUUACUACAUAGCAUUAAUGUGUAAUGAACUACUUUUCUGUCAAAUUUGUUGUAUAACAUGAUGUUUUGGUGCUUAAUUUGUAAAAUCAUAACCUAUUUUGAUGUUUAAUAGGCUUUUUCUUCAUCUCUCCUUAUUAUCCAACAUAUUCACUUAUCCAACGUUCUGCCGGCCCAUUUACGUUGGAUAAGUGAGACUCUACUGUACUUGAAAGCUUUCAUGGCUGGAAUCACUGCGUUGCUGUGAGUUUUCCAGGCAGUCUGGCCAUGUUCCAGAAGCAUUCUCUCCUGACAUCUUCCCCACAUUUGUGGCAGGCAUCCUCAGAGGUUGUGAGGUCUGCUGGAAACUGGGCAAGUGGGUUGUAUAUACAGGUGGAAUGUCCCACCUCCCAACAAAGGAUUCUCCCAGGCCUUGCAGCUGAAUGGCCUUGCAGAUGUAAAGCCUGGCUGCUUCCUGCCUGGGGGAAUCCUUGGUUGGGCGGUGUUAGCAUGAAAGGCACUGUAGAUUAAUUCAACCAGAUGUCAGCCAUAGCAGAACAUUUGGUGAACCAACCUAGUUCAUCUGAUUUUAAGUUUUUUAAUACUGGUGUCCAGAUUUUGUUCAUUUUCAUUGUUUCCUCCUUUCUGUUGCAAUUGUCUACAUGCUUGUGGAUCUUUUUAUGUAGUCUGACAUGGUGGUUGUGAGAGUGGUCCAGCAUUUCUGUGUUCUCAAAUAGUAUCCUGUGUCCAGGUUGGUUCAUUAAAUGCUCUGCUAUGGCUGACUUCUCUGGUUAAGUUAAGUCUGCAGUGCCUGUCAUGAUAACACCUCCCAACCAAGGAUUCCCCCAGACAGGAAGCAGCCAGGCUUUGCAGCUGCAAGGCCAAGGUCGCAAAUUGCAACAUUCACACUAGCCUUAAACAGAUCAGAGUUCUUUCUCCUACCCUGGACAUCAUUCCAUAGAUAUAUAAACCCCAUUUGCCUCGUUUCCAACAGACCUCACAAUCUCUGAGGUUGCUUGCCAUAGAUGUGGGUGAAACGCCAGGAGAGAAUGCUUCUGGAACAUGGCUAGGCGGCCCGGAAAAAUCACAGCAACCCAACUGCAAGUAGCCUCCAGAUUUAACUUUGAAGGCUUGGAAUAGGAAGUGAUUUUGGGUGGAGUCCUAAGUCGGAAGAAAUGUACCGACGCUCUGACUUCAAAACAAAAGCUUAUAAUCUUAAAUGCCUCAUUUGCAGCAUCGUCACUUUUCACAGGGAUUGAGAAAGCUUUCUUGUUCAGCAGUUUUAAUCCCCUUUGAUGCUCUAUUGAACUUGAGGAUUCAAAGGGUGGGAAGGAGAGGCUACAAGGUCCUGGGAGUUGUAGUUUGGCGAGGCACUCUUUGUCAGCCAAGGACCUUGCAAAACUACAGUGUCUGGGAGUCCAUGGCACCGAGCAGCUAGACUGGUGUUAAGCUGCAUUAUUUCUCUAGUGUACAUGCCCGCCCAAUGGGACUUUAUCUAAGAGAAGCCUUCCAGUUCAUGAACUGGAGCGUUGGGUCUUGUCGGACUGGAAAAACUGACAACCAAAGAUCCACCACAAACAAAGCAAACGUCAACCUAUUUCAACCCAGCAAGUCACUUUUCAUCCAUCUACCUGUGAGACCCCUAAAGCUUUCCAGAUACAAAGAGCUCCAUUUCCAAUAUGCUUGAUAAACCCAUCAAAUAUGUGUCUCAUCAUGUUGUCAGAGGCUUUCAUGUCUGGAAUCAAUGGGUUGCUGUGAGUUUUCUGGGCUGUAUGGCGAUGUUUUGGCCACAUCUAUGGCAGGAAUCCUCAGAGGUUGUGAGGUCUGUUGGAAACUACUGUGUUUCCCAGAAAAUAAGACAGUGUCUUAUAUUAAUUUUUGCUCCCAAAGAUGUGCUAGGUCUUAUUUUCAGGGGAUGUCGUAUUUUUCCAUGAAGAAGAAUUCACAUUUGUUGUUGAACGAAAAAAUGAACAUUUAUUAUAUACUGUACAGUAGUUGUCAUCACAGACCAGCAUAACCAGACAAACUGUGAAUCCUAUCAAGAAUUUCUUACUACCAUUACUACCAUUAUUUCCAUGUACAACUGGUAUGUACAUUUACCAAUCCUGCAUGCUCUGGUGUUCUGUUUGGCAGGCGCUGGGCGUGCUUCCAAACAAAAACUUUGCUAGGUCUUACUUUCAGGGGAGGCCUUAUAUUUAGCAAUUCAGCAAAACUUCUACUAGGUCUUAUUUUUCGUGGUUGUCUUAUUUUCAGGGAAACAGGGUAGGCAAGUGAGAUAUUUUAAUAUCUAUCUAUCUAUCUAUCUAUCUAUCUAUCUAUCUAUCUAUCUAUGGAUUGUCCGGGGCGAGAGAACAAACUCUGUUGGAGGCAAUUGGCCAGCUUGAUUAGCACUGCUUGAUUAGCACUGAAUAGCCUUGCAGCUGCAAAGACUGCCUGUUUCCAGUAUUUAAUAAUAUCUAGA